UGCGAGAUCGCAAGAAAAAGUACCGGGACAAGAACAAUUAUCUGCACCACCACACCGAAGGACGACACGCAUUAUCUGGACGAAUCAUGUUUGGAACAAACCUGUUCAUCAUUCGUAAGGCGAGAAAGCUCGAGUGUUUGGUGCUAGAUCCUGUCGUUGAUUGAAUCGUGACCGGCCAGCAGCCAAUUCCUCUCCCUGUUCACGAAACAGACUGGGCACUACUACUUGAUGUUUACGAAACAGACCAGGUACUACUUACAGCAGAGAUUUUUUUUUUCUACAGAGGGUACUGUGAAAACGGCCGCUCAAGCUGCGACUGGCGUUUUCACGUGAGACGCAAAUGGAU